GCCGCUUUAGUAUUGAUGGUCAAUACAUCCGUCUGAAACAUGGAAGAACGCGGUUCGAUCCCGCGAAGCGGCG
rnacentral:tRNA from 1 species